rnacentral:ncRNA from 2 species
GCCCUUGCUCCGGGGUGCACGUGUGCGUGCUGAGACGGCGGAAUCAACCGCCGGAACCGCGAACUUGAUCUGGUUAGUACCAGCGUAAGAAGAGCUGCAGUCGACAGG